GACUGUUGGAUACUUAGUGUAAAUGCUUUGUUGAAGUAAACUAAUGACACCUGGCAACUGACUAAUCAGCACUUCUAUAAUCCCAAACCAACCUGAACACUUUUUGCCUUUUUUUAUUUUUUUUUUUUAAUUUGGUUUGGCUAUCCAGCAGGCCACAGUGCUCUACGUAAUAAGUGUGGAAUGAUCUGAAGAACUGUAAAUUCUGAGGAAGAGGCAGCUGGUGUGUUGAGCCACUUCUAACUGAGGACUGAAAAUGCCAGCAGUUGAAAGUGAGGCAAAGGCAAAAACCAAAGUUCGCUUUGAGGAAAUCUUCAGACGCCAUGCAGGCCUAACAGACGCAAAGAAAUCAAAGAAAAAGAAGUUUGACUCUCCAGAGAGUAUUGUGGUGAGUUAGAACACAUGCAAGUUUUGUUUGAUUGCCUUCCAUCAUAGAAAAAAGAUCAG